rnacentral:rRNA from 1 species
CCCCUAGAUGUUCUGGGCCGCACGCGCGCUACACUGAACAGUUCAACAAGUCUUAACCUUGGCCGAUAGGUCUGGGUAAUCUUUGAACGCUGUUCGUGAUUGGGAUAGACCUUUGCAAUUAUGGGUCUUCAACGAGGAAUUCCUAGUAAACGCAAGUCAUCAGCUUGCAUUGAUUACGUCCCUGCCCUUUGUACACACCGCCCGUCGCACCUACCGAUUGAAUGGUCCGGUGAAAUCUCGGGACGGCGGCUUGGUCGCUUGCGUCCGACUGCCGAAACUUGAUUAAACCAUAUCAUUUAGAGGAAGGUGAANUCGUANCA